rnacentral:rRNA from 1 species
UACGUAGGGUGCAAGCGUUUAAUCGGAAUUACUGGGCGUAAAGCGUGCGCAGGCGGUUUUGUAAGUCUGUCGUGAAAUCCCCGGGCUCAACCUGGGAAUUGCGAUGGAGACUGCAAGGCUAGAAUCUGGCAGAGGGGGGUAGAAUUCCACGUGUAGCAGUGAAAUGCGUAGAGAUGUGGAGGAACACCGAUGGCGAAGGCAGCCCCCCUGGGUCAAGAUUGACGCUCAUGCACGAAAGGCGUGGGGAGCAAACGAGG